rnacentral:rRNA from 12 species
CACACGUGCUACAAUGGCAAGUACAAAGGGUUGCUAACUCGCGAGAGUGUGCUAAUCCCAUAAAGCUUGUCGUAGUCCGGAUCGCAGUCUGCAACUCGACUGCGUGAAGUCGGAAUCGCUAGUAAUCGUGAAUCAGAAUGUCACGGUGAAUACGUUCCCGGGCCUUGUACACACCGCCCGUCACACCAUGGGAGUGGGAUGCAAAAGAAGUAGUUAGUCUAACCUUCGGGGGGACGAUUACCACGGUGUGGUUCAUGACUGGGGUGAAGUCGUAACAAGGUAGCCGUAGGGGAACCUGCGGCUGGAUCACCUCCUU